rnacentral:rRNA from 1 species
UACGUAGGGUCCGAGCGUUGUCCGGAAUUACUGGGCGUAAAGCGCACGUAGGCGGCUUUGUAAGUUAGAGGUGAAAGCCUGGAGCUCAACUCCAGAAUUGCCUUUGAUACUGCAUGGCUUGAAUCCAGGAGAGGUGAGUGGAAUUCCGAGUGUAGAGGUGAAAUUCGUAGAUAUUGGGAAGAACACCGGUGGCGAAGGCGGCCAUCUGGACCGAUACUGACGCUGAGGCGCGAAAGCGUGGGGAGCAAACAG